rnacentral:rRNA from 1 species
GGAUGCGAUCAUACAAGCACUAAAGCACAGGAUCCCAUCAGAACUCUGAAGUUAAUCGUGCUUGGGUUACCUCCUGGGAAGUCCUCGUGUUGCAUUCC